rnacentral:lncRNA from 1 species
CCAUACCAAAACAACAACGAACCUACAUCAUCCAAAUAAUGCCAAAAUAGAGUAAACAACAGACGUCAAAUUAAGAAAACAAAACUCUCAAAACAAAGUAUACCACGACAGAACCUGCUAAAACCAAGACUUCGCUAUCCCAUUCAUACCAUUCCGACUUCAAUUACCACAACAUGCGACUUCAAUUCGAACCUUAGCCAUUUGCUAUAAACAUCCUUCAAAAAUCACGAAUAACUGCCUAAGAUCCACGACCGAAGACGACAAUAUUUCAACCAAUCCAAAAGCAGUAGUUGAAUUGCAUACCCAAUAAUAAAAAGACCAGCUCCUUCCAAAUCACCACAAAAACCAACACAGCAGUCUCUUAAAUGCCAAAGAAACAGACAGAAAAUCAGCCGGAAAAAAAGAAGCUAAAAAUCAACCCCUUAUCUUCCUAGAGCACUCCACCACAAACCAUAUUCACAAUCAAAUCAACCCCUACAAAAUUAAGUUGAAUCCAACCCAUAGAAUAAGGCUCCCAAACUAAAACCAAGCCCUCCACCACCCACACAACAAUUCAUCAACCAACUCCACCAUUCAAUCCAACUCAAUCACGAAUGCAAACCCUCACACAAACAUAAAAUAGAGAUAAGUAGAAGGCCAACAAAAGAGAAACCUUAAAAAAUAGGAACACUCCUACUACUGUUCAGACAUAUUCAACAAAAAAAUCUCCAACUAGCAGAACAACAUCAUAACAAACAUUUUACCUAUAAAGAAUCCCCUUUUACUUCACGACAACCCCCAAUUCUUGUAAACAAAACACACUUCCGAUUCAAUAUUUCCAAUCAAAAAACCAUGUGGAACCAAGAACAAAAAAACGAUAACCAUACCUUGAAAAUUCCAAACCAGUCUCAAAAGCUCUGAAACAUUCCAUAAAGCAGAUCAAUCAUCCAUAACAUUUUCCACUAAUUCUUCCCCAAACAUCGACAUUUCUAAGAAGUUAAAAGUCUUAAAUCUCUUUUGUAGCACCAAAUUCCAAACAUCUCCUGAAACGCCUUCCUUCACCUACACCAGAUACUGGUCAAAAACUUCAUCUCCCGAAAUUAAUCUCUGAACCUAAACACCUCUCUCACUAAGACUUCGACAAUAAGUUACUACAUCUCCGCUCUCAUAAUUUCUUCGAUUACAUCUUCCUCAUUACCAUGAACACUGAACCCCAAUUUCUUUCCGAUUGCCUAAGUGUUAUUAGCUUCCCUAAGAAUCACCCUCAUUCUAUUACUGAUAUCCGAAUCAGAAAGGAAUAAAUUUACAAUCCUCUCAUCUUCCUUACAAGACUCCCUUCCUCUUUCCUUAUGCAGAGCUCUGUCCCUCUUCUUUCUCUCCUUUGACGUUAAAAUGCUAUUUUGAAUUUCAUACAUAGACUGAAUUUUCUUGUUUAAUCCUUUCUUUUUUUUCCUGCGAAAAAGAACCCAUUUCAAUUCUUCUUCAACUUCCGAAGUUGUUUC